UACGGAGGGUGCAAGCGUUGUCCGGAAUCACUGGGCGUAAAGGGCGCGUAGGCGGCUCAUGAAGGCUGUGGUGAAAGUCCGGGGCUCAACCUCGGAUCGGCCGUGGCGACUCGUGGGCUGGAGCACUGUAGAGGCUGGUGGAAUGCCUGGUGUAGUGGUGAAAUGCGUAGAGAUCAGGCGGAACACCCGUGGCGAAGGCGGCCAGCUGGGCCGUCCCUGACGCUGAGGCGCGAAGGCGUGGGGAGCGAACGGG
rnacentral:rRNA from 1 species